UUUCCUAGAGGGGGACGAACAGUUGAACGACUGCUAAUACCGCAUGACACAUCGAAGGGGCGAUCCCUUUGAUGUCAAAGAUUUUAUCGCUGAAAGAUGGCCUCGCGUCCCAUUAGAUAGUUGGCGGGGUAACGGCCCACCAAGUCGACGAUGGGUAGCCGGACUGAGAGGUUGACCGGCCACAUUGGGACUGAGAUACGGCCCAGACUCCUACGGGAGGCAGCAGUGGGGAAUAUUGGGCAAUGGACGCAAGUCUGACCCAGCAACGCCGCGUGAAGGAAGAAGGCUUUCGGGUUGUAAACUUCUUUUGUCAGGGAAGAGUAGAAGACGGUACCUGACGAAUAAGCCACGGCUAACUACGUG
rnacentral:rRNA from 1 species